rnacentral:rRNA from 1 species
AAGAAACCAACAGGGAUUGCCCCAGUAGCGGCGAGUGAAGCGGCAAGAGCUCAGAUUUGAAAUCGUGUUUCGGCACGAGUUGUAGAGUGUAGGCGGGAGUCUCUGUGGAGCGCGGUGUCCAAGUCCCUUGGAACAGGGUGCCUGAGAGGGUGAGAGCCCCGUAGGGUGCUGCGCGAAGCUUUUGAGGCCCUGCUGACGAGUCGAGUUGUUUGGGAAUGCAGCUCCAAGCGGGUGGUAAAUUCCAUCUAAGGCUAAAUAUUGGCGAGAGACCGAUAGCGAACAAGUACUGUGAAGGAAAGAUGAAAAGCACUUUGAAAAGAGAGUGAAACAGCACGUGAAAUUGUUGAAAGGGAAGGGUAUUGGGCUCGACAUGGGGGGUGCGCACCGCUGUCUCUUGUAGGCGGCGCUCUGGGCGCCCUCUGGGCCAGCAUCGGUUCCUGCUGCGGGAGAAGGGGCUCCGGAAAGUGGCUCUUCGGAGUGUUAUAGCCGGGGCCAGAUGCCGCGUGUGGGGACCGAGGACUGCGACUUCUGUCUCGGAUGCUGGCAUAACGGCGCAAUACCGCCCGUCUUGAAACACGGACC